AACGAACGCUGGCGGCAUGCCUAACACAUGCAAGUCGAACGAGACCUUCGGGUCUAGUGGCGAACGGGUGCGUAACGCGUGGGAACCUGCCCUUAGGUUCGGAAUAACUCCCCGAAAGGGGUGCUAAUACCGGAUAAUGUCUUCGGACCAAAGAUUUAUCGCCUUGGGAUGGGCCCGCGUUGGAUUAGCUAGUUGGUAGGGUAAAAGCCUACCAAGGCGACGAUCCAUAGCUGGUCUGAGAGGAUGAUCAGCCACACUGGGACUGAGACACGGCCCAGACUCCUACGGGAGGCAGCAGUGGGGAAUAUUGGAGAAUGGGCGAAAGCCUGAUCCAGCAAUGCCGCGUGAGUGAUGAAGGCCUUAGGGUUGUAAAGCUCUUUUACCCGGGAUGAUAAUGACAGUACCGGGAGAAUAAGCUCCGGCUAACUCCGUG
rnacentral:rRNA from 1 species